GUGGGGAAUAUUGGACAAUGGGCGAAAGCCUGAUCCAGCCAUGCCGCGUGUGUGAAGAAGGUCUUCGGAUUGUAAAGCACUUUAAGUUGGGAGGAAGGGUAGUAACCUAAUACGUUGCUACUUUGACGUUACCGACAGAAUAAGCACCGGCUAACUUCGUGCCAGCAGCCGCGGUAAUACGAAGGGUGCAAGCGUUAAUCGGAAUUACUGGGCGUAAAGCGCGCGUAGGUGGUUCAGUAAGUUGGAAGUGAAAUCCCCGGGCUCAACCUGGGAACUGCUGUCAAAACUGCUGAGCUAGAGUACGGUAGAGGGUGGUGGAAGUUCCUGUGUAGCGGUGAAAUGCGUAGAUAUAGGAAGGAACACCAGUGGCGAAGGCGACCACCUGGACUGAUACUGACACUGAGGUGCGAAAGCGUGGGGAGCAAACAGGAUUAGAAACCCGGGUAGUCC
rnacentral:rRNA from 1 species